AAACUUUCAACAACGGAUCUCUUGGUUCUCGCAUCGAUGAAGAACGCAGCGAAAUGCGAUAAGUAAUAUGAAUUGCAGAUAUUCGUGAAUCAUCGAAUCUUUGAACGCACAUUGCGCCCUUUGGUAUUCCAGAGGGCAUGCCUGUUUGAGCGUCAUUU
rnacentral:rRNA from 1 species